rnacentral:rRNA from 1 species
GACGAACGCUGGCGGCGUGCUUAACACAUGCAAGUCGAACGGAAAAGCCCUGCUUUUGUGGGGUGCUCGAGUGGCGAACGGGUGAGUAACACGUGAGUAACCUGCCCUUGACUUUGGGAUAACUUCAGGAAACUGGGGCUAAUACCGGAGAGGAGCUCCUGCUGCAUGGUGGGGGUUGGAAAGUUUCGGCGGUUGGGGAUGGACUCGCGGCUUAUCAGCUUGUUGGUGGGGUAGUGGCUUACCAAGGCUUUGACGGGUAGCCGGCCUGGGAGGGUGACCGGCCACAUUGGGACUGAGAUACGGCCCAGACUCCUACGGGAGGCAGCAGGGGGGAAUAUUGCACAAUGGGCGGAAGCCUGAUGCAGCAACGCCGCGUGCGGGAUGACGGCCUUCGGGUUGUAAACCGCUUUCGCCUGUGACGAAGCGUGAGUGACGGUAAUGGGUAAAGAAGCACCGGCUAACUACGUG